GCACCAUUUAAUAAUUGGCAUUGCAGCUAGAAUAAAGCAGACUUGCUGAGUCUUCUAACCAACAUGUUUCUCCAGUGAUGGAUGCUUCCUGCACUGGAACAUCAGACUCCAAGUCCUUCAGCUCUUGGACUCCUGGACUUAUACCAGUGAUUUGCCAGGGGAUCUCCAGCCUUCAGCCAGACUUAAGGCUGUACUGUUGGCUUCCCUAGUUUUGAGGUUUUGGGACGCAGACUGGCUGCCUUUCUCCUCAGUCUGCAGAUGGCCUAUUGUGGGACUUCACUUUGUGAUCAUAUGAGUCAAUACUCCUUAAUAAACUCUUCUUCCUAUAUUUAUCUAUCCUAUUAGUUCUGUCCCUCUAGAGCAUCCUAAUACAGUCACAAACUAAAUAUUAUGUUUCUUUUAAAUGGUAUGCCAUUAAAAUAACACUAUUUCAUCAUUUCCAUUAGCCCUCUGUAUCUAUGGGUGCUACAUCCAUGGAUUCAACCAACUGUGGACUAAAUACAUACUUCUGAUCAGCAUUUGCUUGAAUUUGCAGAUGUGGAACCUGCAGAAGCAGGGGGCUGACUUAAGAGAUAAGGAUCUGCAGACUCUGACAUCCAUGCCUACAUCACCAGGACUUGAAGGACAGCAGCACAUCUUCAGUGAGUACCUACUAUGAGGUAAUCACUACCUCACACUUUGCUUCUCAUGAUAAGUUGCCAUCAUGUAUUACUACUUAUAGUGUUUUGAAUAUCCAUUUUUGUUCUAUUUUUUUCUACACUAGUCUCUAUCUAGAACAUUCAUAUUGUCUUUCACUUCUAUAUCAUUUAUUCUUUUGCUGCUAUUACUUUUAUUUAUUAUAUACUGGGAUGGGGUUGGGACAAAAUAAUAACCAAACCUAAUAAAGCAGUAAUAACCAAACAUAAUAAAAAUAAAAUAUAACAAAACUGUUUUCCUGAGAAUCUUACUGUAACGCUAUAGGAUAAGUUCAGUACCUGUUUGGGGGCAUUAUGAAAAAUUCCAUAAUAGUACUCUUUACAUCUCAUUUAAUUAUCUGGGUUUUCAUGAGAGCAGUGACCAUGUCAAUCUUGUGUAUGCCUGUGGAAAAUACUUGGCAAAAAAUAGACUUUCCAUAAAAAUGAGUUGAUUCAUAAAUUACUUUUUAUUUGCAAAGAUAUGAAACCUCAGCAUGUAGUUGUUUUUGAGUAGUUUGCUUCUGCAAAAUGAUUCCAUUGAUAUAUCACUUCACAGAGAACAGUAAUAAGAAAUAAACUGAUGAACUGGGAACUAUUUCUUUCUUUACAAACUGGCAGAGUUAUGCUUUUAUAUUUUUCUUUAAUAC
rnacentral:lncRNA from 1 species